CGAACGCCGGCGGCGUGCUUAACACCUGCAAGUUGAACGGAAAGGCCCUGCUUGCAGGGUACUUGAGUGGCGAACGGGUGAGUAACACGUGGGUGAUUUGCCCUGCACUUCGGGAUAAGCUUGGGAAACUGGGUUUAAUACCGGAUAGGAGCCAUCUUUAGUGUGGUGGUUGGAAAGUUUUUUCGGUGUAGGAUGAGCUCGCGGCCUAUCAGCUUGUUGGUGGGGUAAUGGCCUACCAAGGCGGCGACGGGUAGCCGGCCUGAGAGGGUGUACGGCCACAUUGGGAAUGAGAUACGGCCCAGACUCCUACGGGAGGCAGCAGUGGGGAAUAUUGCACAAUGGGCGCAAGCCUGAUGCAGCGACGCCGCGUGGGGGAUGAAGGCCUUCGGGUUGUAAACUCCUUUCGCUAGGGACGAAGCUUUUUUGUGACGGUACCUAGAUAAGAAGCACCGGCUAACUACGUGCCAGCAGCCGCGGUAAUACGUAGGGUGCGAGCGUUGUCCGGAAUUACUGGGCGUAAAGGGCUCGUAGGUGGUUUGUCGCGUCGUCUGUGAAAUUCUGGGGCUUAACUCCGGGCGUGCAGGCGAUACGGGCAUAACUUGAGUGCUGUAGGGGUAACUGGAAUUCCUGGUGUAGCGGUGAAAUGCGCAGAUAUCAGGAGGAACACCGAUGGCGAAGGCAGGUUACUGGGCAGUUACUGACGCUG
rnacentral:rRNA from 1 species